UACGGAGGGUGCGAACGUUAAUCGGAAUCACUGGGCGUAAAGCGCGCGUAGGCGGUCUGUUAAGUGGGAUGUGAAAUCCCCGGGCUUAACCUGGGAAUUGCAUUUCAAACUGGCCGACUAGAGUACGGUAGAGGGAGGUAGAAUUUCCUGUGUAGCGGUGAAAUGCGUAGAUAUAGGAAGGAAUACCAGUGGCGAAGGCGGCUCACUGGCCCGGUACUGACGCUGAGGUGCGAAAGCGUGGGGAGCAAACAGG
rnacentral:rRNA from 1 species